CCCUUAGAUGUCCUGGGCCGCACGCGCGCUACACUGAGUGUCUGAGAUACGAGUCUGCCUGGUCCGGCAAGGUCUAGGUAAUCGCUAAAAGACACAUCAUGCUUGGGAUAGAUUAUUGCAAAUAUUAAUCUUGAACGAGGAAUUCCUAGUAAGCGCAAGUCAACAGCUUGCGUUUAUUACGUCCCUGCCCUUUGUACACACCGCCCGUCGCUACUACUGAUUGGAUGUUUAAGCGAGGUUCUCGAACUGCUAGCGACUUAGCUUCGGUGAGGUCGCAGUGUGGGAAGUGAACCUAGCUUCGGUGUCUAGAGGAAGUAAAAGUCGUAACA
rnacentral:rRNA from 1 species